CUUAAUGUGGCAGAAAAUCACAUGCAAUGAACUUAAGCUUCAUUUAUAAAGAAUAUUCUUUCAUUAAGA
rnacentral:tRNA from 1 species